rnacentral:rRNA from 1 species
GACGAACGCUGGCGGCGUGCUUAACACAUGCAAGUCGAACGAAGAGCGAUGGAAGCUUGCUUCUGUCAAUCUUAGUGGCGAACGGGUGAGUAACGCGUAAUCAACCUGCCCUUCAGAGGGGGACAACAGUUGGAAACGACUGCUAAUACCGCAUACGAUCUGACCUCGGCAUCGAGGAUAGAUGAAAGGUGGCCUCUACAUGUAAGCUAUCACUGCAGGAGGGGGGUGCGUCUGAUUAGCUUGAUGGCGGGGUAAGGGCCCACCAAGGUGAUGAUGAGUAGCCGGUCGGCUAUGAUGGACGGCCACAUUGGGACUGAGACACGGCCCAGACUCCUACGGGUGGCAGCAGUGGGGAAUCUUCCGCCAUGGACGAAAGUCUGACGGCGCAACGCCGCGGGAGUGAGGACGGCCUUCGGGUUGGAAAGCUCUGUUAAUCGGGACGAAAGGCCUUUUUGCGAAUAGUGAGAAGGAUUGACGGUACCGGAAUAGAAAGCCACGGCUAACUACGUG